rnacentral:rRNA from 1 species
UACAGAGGGUGCAAGCGUUAAUCGGAAUUACUGGGCGGUAAAGCGUGCGUAGACGGUCAUGUAAGUCGGGUGUCGAAAGCCCCGGGCAUCAACCUGGGAAUUGCAUUCGAGAGCUGCAUGGUUAGGAUGCGGAAGAGGGAAGCGGAAUUUCCGGUGUAGCGGUGAAAUGCGUAGAUAUCAGGAGGAAUACCGGUGGCGAAAGCGACUCUCGUG